UACGUAGGCAGCGAGCGUUGUUCGGAAUUACUGGGCGUAAAGAGUGUGUAGGCGGUGCCCUAAGUUCGGUGUGAAAUCUCCUGGCUCAACUGGGAGGGUGCGCCGGAAACUGGGGUGCUCGAGCGUGGGAGAGGAAAGCGGAAUUCCUGGUGUAGCGGUGAAAUGCGUAGAUAUCAGGAAGAACACCAAUGGCGAAGGCAGCUCUCUGGGACGGUACUGACGCUGAGACGCGAAAGCGUGGGGAGCGAACAGG
rnacentral:rRNA from 1 species